AUAGUUCUUCGGAGCUAGAGACCGGCGCACGGGUGCGUAACGCGUAUGCAAUCUACCUUUCACAGAGGGAUAGCCCAGAGAAAUUUGGAUUAAUACCUCAUAGUAUUAUUGAGUGGCAUCACUUAAUAAUUAAAGUCACAACGGUGAAAGAUGAGCAUGCGUCCCAUUAGCUAGUUGGUAAGGUAACGGCUUACCAAGGCUACGAUGGGUAGGGGUCCUGAGAGGGAGAUCCCCCACACUGGUACUGAGACACGGACCAGACUCCUACGGGAGGCAGCAGUGAGGAAUAUUGGACAAUGGGCGCAAGCCUGAUCCAGCCAUGCCGCGUGCAGGAUGACGGUCCUAUGGAUUGUAAACUGCUUUUGUACGAGAAGAAACACUCCAACGUGUUGGAGCUUGACGGUAUCGUAAGAAUAAGGAUCGGCUAACUCCGUGCCAGCAGCCGCGGUAAUACGGAGGAUCCAAGCGUUAUCCGGAAUCAUUGGGUUUAAAGGGUCCGUAGGCGGUUUAGUAAGUCAGUGGUGAAAGCCCAUCGCUCAACGGUGGAACGGCCAUUGAUACUGCUGAACUUGAAUUAUUAGGAAAUAACUAGAAUAUGUAGUGUAGCGGUGAAAUGCUUAGAGAUUACAUGGAAUACCAAUUGCGAAGGCAGGUUACUACUAAUGGAUUGACGCUGAUGGACGAAAGC
rnacentral:rRNA from 1 species